rnacentral:misc_RNA from 1 species
CUCCUCAUCCAUUUCAAGCUUUUUAAGAACUCUCCUUGCCAAAAGAAGUCCAGUGCAGUAGGCAGCAGCAUAAUUAGUCAGUCCAACUUCUAGGCCAUAACGAGGCAGCUCGUUAGCAUAAGCAGAGGCAAGAAUCAUGUCACCAGCAAUACUAGCAGACACAAUUUGUGCAAUUAUGUCCUUGUUAGUAAAUCGGACAACCAAACGAUAUUUAGGAGUGUUGUACUUAUUUUUGUCCUGAUUGAUCAAGCGAUUCCUGGCUCUGUAAUCUGUUUUCCCCUCUCUCCUUCUCUUGAAUUUAACCUGGAAACGCUUAAAAUAAGCCCUUGUCUUCUGGACUUUGAUGAAGGCCAUUGUUUCUUCUCGAUUAACCUCCGCCGGCGGACGUGAGGGGGAAGUGGGGAGUGG